AAAGAAAGGUUAGGUAUUGGAUGAGAACCUUGCAUUUGUGUGAGUGAAGGCGAGAGAGAAUAUGAUCAACCUCUUCCGCAGAGUGAAGACGAACCUUUCAAAAGUAUGCGGAUUCGAUAGAAGAUCCCUCGAAUUGCAUCUAGCGGGAGAAUCCCUAAACUCCUCUACAUCUCCAUCUCUCGUCCAUGGAAUUCACGUCUUCUAGUGUCCCGAUGUGCUAGGUAUCGUCUCUAAGUUAUCCGAAAGCAUAGCCUCAAAUGGAGGAAAUAUACUCGGGGCUGAUAUCUUUGUUCCCGAAAAGAAGCAAGUCUUCUAUUCCAGAAGGUCCACCUUUUCAUUUUCCUUUUUUAUUUUAUUUGCACUAAUUUCAUAAUUUAGUUUCUUCCUUAUUUUCCAAUACUAUCUAUAGCCAUCAAUAUGUAUGAAAUUAGCAUCCAUUCUUAGAUUAAAGAUGAAAGGCCUAAAUAUAUUUUAAGAGAGGCAAAAAUAAAAUAGGUCUUUAAAAUGUUGGGAAGUGAUCUUAAUAUGAAUUUUAAGAUAGAGUGUAAGUAUUCGAUGUUAUGGAAGUCCAAAACAAAAUUAGAGCCUGCCUUAUGAAUUUGUCCAUGGAUUGUGGAUGAUAGUCUCUGCAACCUUUUAAGAAGAGAAGAGUUAAUGAGGGAAGUUCAAAUGUGAAGCUAGUUUUAAUUCUGACACUGAUACACAACUGACACAAGUAUGAUUCACAACCAAUCUGCCUUCGUUUUAACUAUUUCCUGCAUUUACAAAAUGGAGUUCUAUUUUCCUAACACUAUUUUAUAUUUCAAGGAUGCAAUGAGUUUGUCUUCAAUCCUGUCGAGUGAGAAUGGAAGAGGAAUUCCAAAAGCUGGCAAGGAUGUUUAAUGCAAUGAGAUCAGUUGUUCGAGUGCCUUCUCUUGAUCCCAAAUAUAGGAUUGUUGUUCUUGCUUCCAAACAGGACCAUUGUCUGGUGGAUUUGUUGCAUGGAUGGCAGGAUGGGAAGCUAUCAGUAGAAAUAAUUUGUGUGAUAAGUAACCACGAAAGAGGCCCAAAUACCCACGUGGCAUGAUUUUUAGAACGCCAUGCUAUCCCGUAUCAUUAGAGAGAGGCGGAGAUCCUGAAUUUGGUUAAAGAUACAGAUUUUUUAAUACUUGUUAGGUACAUGCAGGUACACAUAAAAUGUUUCAGACUCCUUGUUAGGAUGUUUAUCACACUAUCAAGCAUUAGCGACUCCUUGUUCUUAUGUUUAUAUUUUAAAGGAGUCAACUUUGUAUUAAAAACGUAUGUGAAUGCUUAGGUGCGAUCAUUUUACAGAAAAAAUGUAAAAAAAGGAAAGACAAGAUACAAAAAAAGUUAGAUUCCGAUCAAGUCAAAACAAUCUCAUCAUGUGCAAAUUCACUAUAAAUGUGUGAAGUUCCAUUGUGCAAACAGCGUUUUGAAGCUGGUGUGAUGUUAAUAGGAGCACCAAAUCAUUUUGUAACUGAAGAGCUUGAUGGAGGGCCUAUUAUUGAACAAAUGGUUGAGAGAGUUUCACACAAAGACAACCUACAGAUCUUUAUAUUGAAAUCGGAAACCCUAGAGCUUUAUAGUUUAAGGUUAAUUUAUGGUUUUUGUGGAUUGAUGAAUUGUGGAUUUAUGAUUGUAGUUUGUGGAUUAUUGUUGUUUUGGAUUGAUGAUUGUGGUUUUUGGUUAUUAA